UCCGUAGGUGAACCUGCGGAGGGAUCAUUACCGAGUCUAAACAACUCAUCAACCCUGUGAACAUACCUAAAACGUUGCUUCGGCGGGAACAGACGGCCCCGUAACACGGGUCGCCCCCGCCAGAGGACCCCUAACUCUGUUUAUAUUAUGUUUUUUCUGAGUAAACAAGCAAAUAAAUUAAAACUUUCAACAACGGAUCUCUUGGCUCUGGCAUCGAUGAAGAACGCAGCGAAAUGCGAUAAGUAAUGUGAAUUGCAGAAUUCAGUGAAUCAUCGAAUCUUUGAACGCACAUUGCGCCCGCCAGUAUUCUGGCGGGCAUGCCUGUUCGAGCGUCAUUACAACCCUCAGGCCCCCGGGCCUGGCGUUGGGGAUCGGCGGAAAGCCCCCUGUGGGCAUACGCCGUCCCCUAAAUACAGUGGCGGUCCCGCCGCAGCUUCCAUUGCGUAGUAGCUAACACCUCGCAACUGGAGAGCGGCGCGGCCAAGCCGUAAAACCCCCAACUUCUGAAUGUUGACCUCGAAUCAGGUAGGAAUACCCGCUGAACUUAAGCAUAUCAAUAAGCGGAGGA
rnacentral:rRNA from 1 species